CCGCGAGCGCCGCGCGAUUCGUUGCGAGAUGAUCGCGAUGAAACAGCCCGGCGGGCGCGGCGACGUCGAAGCCGGGAUGCGCGUCGAGCGUGGCGGCGAGCUGCUUGGCGAUGUCGUCGGGCGCGGCCGGUGCGCCGUAUUGAUCGUCGAGAAAAUCGAGCCAGACGGGUGUCGCGUCGAGCACGCGCAGCGCGCGGGCAUCUUCCGCGCGCCGCGCGCGCAUCGCGUCGGCGCCCGUCGCGAAGCCCGCGCGGCGGUCCCACGGCGGCGCGGGCGUGCGCGGCGGCGGCACGCCGGCGAACACCGUGACGACGGCGGAGCCGGGCGACUGCGCGAGCAACUGGCCGCAGCCGAACACGCCGUCGUCCAGAUGCGGCGAGAUGACGAGCCAGCGGUGAGUCGAUGUCAUGGUCCGCGAGCCUCCCCGGUGCCGCGUGCGCGGAUGCGCGGCUUGCCCGUGCGGAGCCGCAACUUCCGUGCCGCCGCGGCGCGUCCGGCUGCGCGCGCGCGCCGCGCGCCCACGCGGCGGCAGGAGGGGAUGUGAUGGCGAAUUUUGUACGAGGACACGCAAAAAAUUACGCGGCGGUGACGGGCUUCAUCGCGAUCGGUACGUUGCUGCAGGCGGCGCUCGUGCGCUUCGGCGGCGCCGACAUGCCGCUCGCGCCGUAUUUUCCGUUCAUCGCGGCGGCCGCCUGGGCGACGUCGCUCGCGGGGGGGAUCGCCGCGACCGCCGCGAGCGCGGCGCUCGCGUGGCUGCUGUUCCUGAACGAUCCGGCCGCGUAUUCGGCGCCGCUCGCGUGGCGGCUCAUGCAGCUCGCGACGUUCGCCGUCGUGAGUUGCGCGAUCUGCGCGAUCGUCGUCGCGCUCAAGGGCUCGCGCCGCGCGAACGACGCGUUGCGCCGCCGCGAGGCGGGGGCGCGCCACUACUACGAGACCCUGCUGCAGUCGCUCACGCAGGGCGUCGUCGUCAGCGACCGGCACGGCAUGCUCACGUACAUGAACCCGAGCGCGGCCGCGCUGAUCGGCUGCGAUGCGACGGCCGUGCGCGGUCUGCCGUUUCGCGACGUGUACCGCGCCUACGACGGGCGCGGCGCGCGCGUGCGCGCGUCCGCGCUCGAGCACGUGCUGAGGAGCGGCAGGAGCGCGAGCGUCGAAGGGCACUGGCUUGCUCCGCACGACGGGCAGCGGGUGCCGAUCGCCGAAGCCGCGUCGCCGCUCGUCGAUUCGGCGGGCGACAUGACGGGCGCGGUGCUGAUCGUGCGCGACAUCAGCAUCGAGCGCGAGCGAUCGGCGGCCAGCCAGAUGCUGCGGCGGCUCGUCGAGGCCUCGCCCGACGCGAUCGUCGGGGUCGGCUCGAAUCGCCGCAUCACGAGCUGGAACCCGGCCGCGCGCCGGAUGUUCGGCUACGACGAGCACGCGGCGCGCGGGUGCGACGUCGCGAUGCUGAUCGCGCCGCGCUGGCUGCGCAAUCAUCCGCUGC
rnacentral:rRNA from 1 species